GGAGAGGUGGCAGAGUGGCCGAAUGCACCACCUUGCUAAGGUGGCGUGGGCUUUGCGGCCCACCGCGGGUUCGAAUCCCGCCCUCUCCGCCA
rnacentral:tRNA from 1 species